rnacentral:rRNA from 1 species
AGAGUUUGAUCCUGGCUCAGAUUGAACGCUGGCGGCAUGCUUUACACAUGCAAGUCGAACGGCAGCACGGGGGCAACCCUGGUGGCGAGUGGCGAACGGGUGAGUAAUGCAUCGGAACGUAUCCUUGAGUGGGGGAUAACGCAGCGAAAGUUGUGCUAAUACCGCAUAAGCUCUGAGGAGGAAAGCGGGGGACCGAAAGGCCUCGCGCAGCAGGAUGAGCCGAUGUCCGAUUAGCUGGUUGGUGGGGUAACGGCCCACCAAGGCGACGAUCGGUAGCUGGUCUGAGAGGAUGAUCAGCCACACUGGGACUGAGACACGGCCCAGACUCCUACGGGAGGCGAC